UGCGUAGGCGGCUUGUUAAGUCUGGAGUGGAAGUCCUCUUUUUAAGGGAGGAAUUGCUUUGGAAACUGGCGAGCUUGAGUGCAGGAGAGGUUAUCGGAAUUCCCGGUGUAGCGGUGAAAUGCGUAGAGAUCGGGAGGAACACCAGUGGCGAAGGCGGGUAACUGGACUGCAACUGACGCUGAGGCGCGAAAGUGUGGGGAGGCAAAACA
rnacentral:rRNA from 1 species